UUUUCUUCGUUGAAAUGCCCUCACUUGAUGGCUUCUACAUUUUAUUUUAUUUUUAAUUUCAGUCAGACGUUGACGUGGCAGCCGGUUACACGGCGAUUGCAUCCCGCGGUUGUAAGUAGCAGAAUUGAAAAAAAAAAAAAGGGUUCCAGACUCCAGCACGUAUCAUUUUGCAAUUCGGCAAGGCCCAGUAGAACCCUAGAUAUGCUUCCCCUAUAAAUUCACAAUCUUCCGCGCUGCCCAUUGUCCUCUGCACAAUAUGUUCACAGUGUCUCUUCCCAUCUCCUUCGUAUGUGCUUUUGCGAGUGGUUAAAACGAAGAUCGACAUACCGAAACGCAGAGUUUUCUCUUGUUUUAAUUGGGAGAAAGCCUUGCGUGUAGACCACCACGCUCACCGGUGGAGCGAUCUCACUCAUCACUUUUGUAGCCUUUGGGGAAAACAGAGUUUGCAAUGAGGAUGGCAAAAGCUCCCUCUUCUGAGGUUUUAAGGUGAGGAAUUCUGCUGGCAGAAUCGAACCUACAACUUUAAACGCCACAACCGAGUAACCUCUCUUCCCUUUUUUCCAUUUCAAUUAAUUCACUUUUGUACUCUUAUCGUGUCUGUGUUUCUAUAAACAAUUUAAGUAUUUCGAUCAUUUUAAUAUUUUUGGAUAUCUACUCUAUGUUCUGAUGCGGAUGAAUGGUAAUAGCCUUCAAGAAUGUGACAAUAUUUCUUAAUUGUUGGCUUUGUUCUGAAAAGUAUAAAUACUAUUUUGCUUUCUCCUAUAUUUAAGUUGAGGCCGAUGAUGAUCUAAAUGAUUUUUGCCUACAUUGCAUGAUUAUCUGGACUAAGAUAGUGAUAUAUCUGAAUUUUCUGAGGCCUUUAGAUCGUAAUUUCUUCGAGUCAUGGGAUGGGCAGGAUAUGUUUUGAUGCAUGUUAGAUCUGCAGCUUGACCACUAUGCUGUUUUUAGUGUGCAUUAUAAUGUCUACAUUCAUAAAUUUGGGAGCUUUGUUUUAUCAGUUUUCUGUGUUCAUUUCUUUCCAUCUAAUGUUAGAACUGUUUCAUGUUUUGCUCAACCUGCCAUCAAAGUGUACAAUCUAUGUAAUCUCUCGUUCUUCAUAGGGAACUGGUGACGUGUUUUCUUAAGGUAUUUUCUUAAGGUAUUUGGGUGACUUGAAAAUGAUAUAUAUAUAUAUAUAUAUAUAUAUAUUUUUUUUUUUUUAAAAAGAAGAAUCUAAAGUCCUCAGUCUCUUCCUUAUAGAUCGAUCUAUAGGAGGGGACAAGUAAAAAUACCACUCUUUUCUAGUUCCUUUUAGAUUAAGCAUACAAAUUGAUGGCCUUUUUUAUUUCUUUUUUAAGUGAAUAAACAAUUUGUAAACUUGCGUUGAUGUUUUUGUACAAUCUCUUGGCUGCCCUCCCAAUCCACCGUUCGAAAUAUGUUUUCACUCGCUGGGGAUAUGGAUGGUCUUCAUAUAUGUAUGAAGCUAUAGCAAAUAAACCAUGAUGCUGCAAUGCAACUAAUCAAAACAUACAAAGAAGAAAAGGAGUUGGAGUUUCAUGGAUUAUCAAUCUUGGCAUUGAGUGAUUUCCGCCAAGUGGUGCAUGUCUCUAUAGAUAAAUUUAUGGGCGAGCUAAUGGCAUGUAAUCUAAGUUCUAACAAUAUGUUGUUCUCCGUUUUAUAGCAAAAGUUUAUAUAUGAGAUCAAGGCCGUCUGUAUCUCUUACACUAUUAUUUCUCACUUUUUAGUUGAAAGUUGGGUAUUA